rnacentral:tRNA from 2 species
GCAUUACUAGCUUAAUGGUAAAGCCCUACAAUGUCACUGUAGAAGAUGUCAGUUCAAGUCUGAUGUAUUGCG